GACCUGCUUUACAGAGCUGCGGCAACAAAGUAUGGGGGAAAAAUAGAAAAGGAAAUAUUUACUGCAGGGUUUAGCACUUACAGACUCCCCACAAGUAAGGUUUCUUGUCUCUUUUUCCCCAAGAUCUUCGAUUGAUUAACAAGGACUAGUACAUUUUUAAGAGAGCCUUUAUUUAUUAAUUCAUUUUAAACCAGGACACGGAAUAGCGCACGUCUGA